rnacentral:tRNA from 1 species
AUAUUUUAAGAUUAUAUUGUUUUAUAUCAGUUAUUUUUUAUAAUUUUGAUUUUUUUAAAAAAAAUUGUAAAAAUAUUUCCAAAAAUAUUAAAUACUAAAUUUAAUUUAAAAAAUAUGUAAAAUAUGUAUUUAUUUUUGAAAUUAUAGUUUAUAAAUUAUUGUAGAAUAAUUUUCAUUUAUAAAAAUAUAAAUAUUUUUUAUUAUAAUACUUGAAUAACUUUCUACAUUAAUUUUAGUAGAAUAUU